CAGGAAGAGAUGGAGCGGCAGAGAGAGAGUUACCAGAGAGAGAUGACAGGCCUGAGAACAGACAAACAGAGACUGGAGGAGAAGGUUCUAGAGCUCAACCGACAGACCCAAGAGAACACCGACAGAAACGUUCUAGAACACAACCAAGAGAACACCGACAGAAACGUUCUAGAACACAACCAAGAGAACACAGACAGAAACGUUCUAGAACACAACCAAGAGAACACCGACAGAAACGUUCUAGAACACAACCAAGAGAACACCGACAGAAACGUUCUAGAACACAACCAAGAGAACACCGACAGAAACGUUCUAGAACACAACCAAGAGAACACAGGCAGAAACGUUCUAGAACACAACCAAGAGAACACAGACAGAAACGUUCUAGAACACAACCAAGAGAACACCGACAGAAACGUUCUAGAACACAACCAAGAGAACACCGACAGAAACGUUCUAGAACACAACCAAGAGAACACAGGCAGAAACGUUCUAGAACACAACCAAGAGAACACCGACGAGAGAAUCCGGUCAGAGUGUGAGGAGCGCCUGAGGGCGGAAUUUAAAGCGGAGCUUGACGCGGCUGUUGCCGCGAGCAACCAGAGAGAGCAGGAGCUGCAGACUCAACUAGCCGAUCUCCAAUCACAGGUGGAGAGGAAGGCGGGGCCAGCAGAGGGUCACCAUGACGACAGUGAGAUUGACAGGCUGCGAAGGGAGGUGCAGGAAACCAGAGACAUGAACCAGAGACUGAGAGAACAGCUGCAGGAGGAACACUCUGAAGAACGACACUCGGCGGCGUUGCAGGCUCUGGAGAGACGAGCUCAGGAAGACCUGCAGACAGAGAGGAACAGACUACACACACUACACCUGUUACAGCUAGAUAAGCAGGGUACAGAGCUGAGCCAGCAGUACACAGAGUGGAGUAGACAGUUGACCCAGAGACAUAUGAAACACAUUGAAGACCUGCAGACUGAACUACACACACACACCGAGAUGAUGGCCCUGC
rnacentral:lncRNA from 1 species